AGAGGUGGCAAGCGUUGUUCGGAAUUACUGGGCGUAAAGGGCGCGCAGGCGGUUCGUCAAGUCCCGUGUGAAAGCCCCCGGCCCAACUGGGGAACUGCGCGGGAAACUAGCGGGCUUGAGUUCGGGAGAGGGAAGCGGAAUUCCGGGUGUAGCGGUGAAAUGCGCAGAUAUCCGGAGGAACACCAGUGGCGAAGGCGGCUUCCUGGACCGAUACUGACGCUGAGGCGCGAAAGCUAGGGGAGCGAACGGGAUUAGAUACCCCGGGUAGUCCUAGCCCUAAACGUUGAGCACUGGGUGUAGGGGGUGUAAACCCCCCCGUGUGCCGAAGCUAACGCAUUAAGUGCUCCGCCUGGGGAGUACGGUCGCAAGGCUG
rnacentral:rRNA from 1 species